AAGGUUAUUUAUGCUGCGUUUCUCUCAGCUUUACCCUGGCCUAGACUACACCCGUGAGUGGGGAAGGGUUAUUCAUUACAGGUACCGUUGGUGACUUGGUUCUGUUGGUGACUCUAGUUCAGACAACGGUGUUCAGUUGACCUUAAGUUGGAUUUAAGUUCCGAGUUUUGACUGAAGCGUCGACCUAGUGAUCAGAGUUUGCACAACCAGCCAGUCCAGUCUGCAUCAUGUGCAUCAUAGCAUAUUUAUUUUUCAAAAGAAACGCAAAAAAAAAAAUGUUGAAAAAAAAAGAAGAAAAAAAACUAAUCUCUGCAUGCA
rnacentral:lncRNA from 1 species